UUUGUUGAAGUUCUGAUGUGAUGAUUAUAUGCGUAAUGUGAUUGAUAAAAAGGAAAGUUAGCAGGGCGGGAUCGAGAAAUUGAUAAAAAGAAUGAUUUUAGAUUAAUGUUAGUUCGUCGGUUGUUCUGUUUAGUCCGGAAUAAAAUUUUAAAUUUGUGAACAUGAUUGGAUCGUGUUUAGGUUGAAAUGGAUAGGCAAUAUAGGUUCGGGUAGGCAAGAAUUUAAGAUUGAUGUUUUUGUUUGGAUGUUGGAAUGUGCGU
rnacentral:lncRNA from 1 species